GAUGAACGCUGGCGGCGUGCCUAAUACAUGCAAGUCGAGCGAACAGAUGAGGAGCUUGCUCCUCUGACGUUAGCGGCGGACGGGUGAGUAACACGUGGAUAACCUACCUAUAAGACUGGGAUAACUUCGGGAAACCGGAGCUAAUACCGGAUAAUAUAUUGAACCGCAUGGUUCAAUAGUGAAAGACGGUUUUGCUGUCACUUAUAGAUGGAUCCGCGCCGCAUUAGCUAGGUGGUAAGGUAACGGCUUACCAAGGCAACGAUGCGUAGCCGACCUGAGAGGGUGAUCGGCCACACUGGAACUGGGACACGGUCCAGACUCCUACGGGAGGCAGCAGUAGGGAAUCUUCCGCCAUGGGCGAAAGCCUGACGGAGCAACGCCGCGUGAGUGAUGAAGGUCUUCGGAUCGUAAAACUCUGUUAUUAGGGAAGAACAAAUGUGUAAGUAACUAUGCACGUCUUGACGGUACCUAAUCAGAAAGCCACGGCUAACUACGUG
rnacentral:rRNA from 1 species